rnacentral:rRNA from 1 species
AUUGAACGCUGGCGGCAGGCUUAACACAUGCAAGUCGAGCGGGGGAGGUUGCUUCGGUAACUGACCUGGCGGCGGACGGGUGAGUAAUGCUUAGGAAUCUGCCUAUUAGUGGGGGACAACAUUCCGAAAGGGAUGCUAAUACCGCAUACGCCCUACGGGGGAAAGCAGGGGAUCUUCGGACCUUGCGCUAAUAGAUGAGCCUAAGUCGGAUUAGCUAGUUGGUGGGGUAAAGGCCUACCAAGGCGACGAUCCGUAGCGGGUCUGAGAGGAUGAUCCGCCACACUGGGACUGAGACACGGCCCAGACUCCUACGGGAGGCAGCAGUGGGGAAUAUUGGACAAUGGGCGGAAGCCUGAUCCAGCCAUGCCGCGUGUGUGAAGAAGGCCUUUUGGUUGUAAAGCACUUUAAGCGAGGAGGAGGCUCUUAAGGUUAAUACCCUUGAUGAGUGGACGUUACUCGCAGAAUAAGCACCGGCUAACUCUGUGCCAGCCGCCGCCGUAACAC